GUAAGGAAUAUUGGUCAAUGGUCGCAAGACUGAACCAGCCAUGCCGCGUGCAGGAAGAAGGACCUAUGGUUUGUAAACUGCUUUUGUACAAGAGAAAACCCCUCUACGUGUAGAGGGCUGAUAGUAUUGUAAGAAUAAGCAUCGGCUAACUUCGUGCCAGCAGCCGCGGUAAGACGAAGGAUGCAAGCGUUAUCCGGAUUCAUUGGGUUUAAAGGGUGCGUAGGCGGACCUGUAAGUCAGUGGUGAAAUCCCUCAGCUUAACUGAGGAACUGCCAUUGAUACUGCAGGUCUUGAGUACAGAUGCCGUUGGCGGAAUAUGACAUGUAGCGGUGAAAUGCAUAGAUAUGUCAUAGAACACCGAUUGCGAAGGCAGCUGACGAAACUGUAACUGACGCUGAGGCACGAAAGUGCGGGGAUCAAACAGGAUUAGAUACCCUAGUAGUCC
rnacentral:rRNA from 1 species